rnacentral:rRNA from 1 species
UACGAAGGGGGCGAGCGUUGUUCGGAAUCACUGGGCGUAAAGGGCGCGUAGGCGGCCCUCCUUGUCGCGUGUGAAAGCCCCGGGCUCAACCUGGGAACGGCGCGCGAGACGGGGGGGCUGGAGUUCGGGAGAGGAGCGUGGAAUUCCCAGUGUAGAGGUGAAAUUCGUAGAUAUUGGGAAGAACACCGGUGGCGAAGGCGGCGCUCUGGACCGAGACUGACGCUGAUGCGCGAAAGCGUGGGGAUCAAACAGG